UAGCCGUAAACGAUACUCGCUAGGUGUCGGCCACGGUGCGACCGUUGUCGGUGCCGUAGGGAAGCCGUGAAGCGAGCCACCUGGGAAGUACGGCCGCAAGGCUGAAACUUAAAGGAAUUGGCGGGGGAGCACCGCAACGGGAGGAGCGUGCGGUUCAAUUGGAUUCAACGCCGGACAACUCACCGGAUAGGACAGCAGAAUGAUUGCCGGGCUGAAGACCCUGCAUGACUAGCUGAGAGGAGGUGCAUGGCGUAGACGUCU
rnacentral:rRNA from 1 species